ACUUCCUGAGGCUCCACCUCAGUGGGCAGGUUGGUUGGAGUUUCUCCAGGGACCUCCUCCCAUUUGGCUGUCUCAUUUCCUCACCUAUGAAAUGAAGAGGCUGAGCUACCUCACAGGGCUGUAAUGAGAGAGCAACAAGGUAAUGCAGGUAAAUCUGAUGGCAGGAUCCCAUCAGGAUGGCACAUUACGUUGGGUUGUCAUGUCUCUUUAUGCUCCCGUCCGUUCUGGCAGUCUCCUUGUUUUUGAUGACUUUGAGGGUUUUGAGGAGUACUGAUCAGAAGCCAGGAUUAUGAUGAUUUCCUGCAUCACAUCUUUGUAGAAAUUCUGAGAAGGAUCCAGCCAAGCCCACUUCUGUUGGGUGAAGGUCACAGUCACAACUUCAAAGGCAACUAAGUUCGUAUUCCAACUUCCUGGGUGUCCUGGCAUCCUCCCCAUGCAUGUCCCAGUACCUGCAGGUCACAGAGUGAUAAAGGCUGUGGCAGAACUCCCUGGGCCUCCUACAGUGAAGAAGAAGGAGCAGCGAAGACUGACUGAGCAGUGGACAUGUGGGCAUGAAAGACCUGAGUAGAUUUAUUUAUUGAAAUAAAACCGUGCAGUUCAUCGAAUCAAAGUCCUGAACACAGAAAACAAGGCAGGAAGACAUCACAGAGCACAGUCAGGUGGGAGGUAUUGGAACAUUCAGUAAAUAACAAGA
rnacentral:lncRNA from 10 species